rnacentral:rRNA from 1 species
CCGACGGUGAGGGACGAAAGCUGGGGACACGAACCGGAUUAGAUACCCGGGUAGUCCCAGCCGUAAACGAUGCUCGCUAGGUGUCUGGGGUGGUGCGACCGUUUCAGGUGCCGCAGGGAAGCCGUGAAGCGAGCCACCUGGGAAGUACGGCCGCAAGGCUGAAACUUAAAGGAAUUGGCGGGGGAGCACUACAACGGGUGGAGCCUGCGGUUUAAUUGGACUCAACGCCGGAAAACUCACCUGGGGC